rnacentral:rRNA from 1 species
CUUGUACACACCGCCCGUCACACUAUGGGAGUUGGCUUUACCCGAAGACGGUGCGCGAACCCGCAAGGGACGCAGCCGGCCACGGUAGGGUCAGCGACUUGGGUG